rnacentral:lncRNA from 1 species
AUUUUGUUAUGCUAUAUUAUUAAUGUUUGUUGAUGCCUAAAGUAUUACUUUUUACUAAUUUGACAGUAAAUUUAGUAUGAGUUGAUUUUGAGAUAUGCAAUAAGCUCAGAAUCCAGAUGUCUUUGAUUUAAUUAACUGACUCAAAUUACAUGUACGAUGUACAUGUAAUUUGAGGAUAAUUGUGCAUGUGCGAAAUCAAUUUGGCUGAAAGGUUGUGUCAAUUAAGCUUCAUAUAUAGUAACAAAAACAAUAAUAAUAUUUCUGUCUUUGGAGUAUAACAGGGGUUUGGAGAUUAUAUUUAAUUGCAAAGGGGCUUCUGAAAAUCUUUAGGAUAAAUAAAAAAAAUAGCAUUAAAGCAAAAACAAUCUGAUGAUUACGCAAUCAAAUUUUACCUAAUUAAGGGUGCAAUUGCAAAAGAGACCGAUAAGCUUAGGUCACUUCACCUAACAUAUUCUUUUGACAUUGUCUAGGAACAUGUAAUUUAUGUUAAAAAAAAAGGAUUAUUUCUACCCAGUCUCCAAAUGUUUCGACACUUUCCACCGUGCCUUCAAAUGUUUCAACAACCUCCACCCGCAUCUAUUUUCGUUAAUUUGACCUUUAUUUUUAACGGAUUUGUUUGAAAUUUAAGUAAAUGUCAGAAAUGUCCCUUAUCUUGAAUUGGAGAAGAAUAAAAUGACAUAAAAUGCUAAUCCAAUAAUUGAUAUUUAUAUUAAAAAGGAAAAAGGACAAACACACCCUCAAUGUUUAGGCAAAGGAACAAAAACUCCCCUAACGUUUCAAAAAAGACAUUUACACCUCAAUUUAUUAUAAUUUUACCAUUAUACCCUUCUAGCAUAUAAAAAAAUUAGAUUAUCCAAUUUGUCUAUAUAUU